rnacentral:rRNA from 1 species
UAGUUUGAUCCUGGCUCAGGAUGAACGCUAGCGGCAGGCCUAAUACAUGCAAGUCGGACGGCAGCAGCCCCGGGCAACCGGGGGCUGGCGAGUGGCGCACGGGUGCGUAACGCGUAUGCAACCUACCUUUUACAGGGGGAUAGCCCGGGGAAACCCGGAUUAAUACCCCAUGCCGCCCACCCCCCACCUGGGAGAUGGGCGAAAGGUUUACCGGUAAAGGAUGGGCAUGCGUCCCAUUAGCUAGUUGGUGGUGCAACAGACCACCAAGGCGACGAUGGGUAGGGGGUCUGAGAGGAUGGUCCCCCACACUGGCACUGAGAUACGGGCCAGACUCCUACGGGAGGCAGCAGUAGGGAAUAUUGGUCAAUGGGCGGGAGCCUGAACCAGCCAUGCCGCGUGCAGGAAGACGGCCUUCUGGGUUGUAAACUGCUUUUUCCAGGGAAGAAAAGACCCAUGCGUGGGGCAUUGACGGUACCUGGAGAAUAAGCACCGGCUAACUCCGUGCCAGCAGCCGCGGUAAUACGGAGGGUGCAAGCGUUGUCCGGAUUUAUUGGGUUUAAAGGGUGCGUAGGCGGCCAUUUAAGUCAGUGGUGAAAUGCGGCAGCUCAACUGCCGGAGUGCCAUUGAUACUGAGAGGCUUGAGUAUAGAUGAGGCAGGCGGAAUUUAUGGUGUAGCGGUGAAAUGCAUAGAUACCAUAAAGAACACCGAUAGCGUAGGCAGCUUGCCAAAACUAUACUGACGCUGAGGCACGAAAGCAUGGGUAGC